UACAAAGGUUUCUGGGUUUGGCUUCCAGCAACAAUGGAGACUGACACUGCUUCAGAGCCCAGGACAUAGGGAGGAUUUGAGUGGUGGAAGCACUUAGAUGGAGAAUCCAAGUCCUGCCAAGAGAGCAUGUGGAAAUGCCCGCAUCCUGCGUGGUCUGUCCUUCAAAUCCUGCUCUGCAAUCAACACCACAUGGUAAGGCCAGGAGGAAGAAGACUUCCCAUCACCCACAGCUGUCCCCUCUGCCAGAGGUAAAGGCUUCUUGUGGACUGAAGAAAUGGACGUUCACCCCAGGCCAGUGGACUGUGAGCCCUAAGAGAAAGCAGCACCAUUUAUACCCUUUCCCUGCUGAGAGGCAUUAGCUUUGUUUCCUGUGUGUGUGUGUGUGUGUGCACGCGCGUGCACAUCACAAAUGCUCUGUGUGUGUGUGUGUGCACGCACGCACACGCACAUCACAAAUGCACCUCUACAAUCAAUGAUGCAAUAAACACCCUCUUACAGGGGCC